GCAUUUGUUGAGCUCUCAACAACUAGGUCGGUGUUGUCUUUUAGGAGAUCGAGGCUAUGCCCUUAGACAAUAUUUGCUGACACCAUUAGAUCCUCCAACAGAUGCUGAAAAACUUUAUAAUGAGAGUCAGAUAAGAACUAGGAAUGUUGUGGAGGGAACCUUUGGUGUUUGGAAGAGGCGAUUUCCCUGUAUUGGAUCUCAACUUAGAGUAAAACUAAAAAACGUACAGGCUAUAAUUAUUCUGAAGCUGAGCAGUAGUAUAGAGGAG
rnacentral:misc_RNA from 1 species